rnacentral:rRNA from 1 species
GACGAACGCUGGCGGCGUGCUUAACACAUGCAAGUCGAACGGAAAGGCCCUGCUUUUGUGGGGUGCUCGAGUGGCGAACGGGUGAGUAACACGUGAGUAACCUGCCCUUGACUUUGGGAUAACUUCAGGAAACUGGGGCUAAUACCGGAUAGGAGCUCCUGCUGCAUGGUGGGGGUUUGAAAGUUUCGGCGGUUGGGGAUGGACUCGCGGCUUAUCAGCUUGUUGGUGGGGUAGUGGCUUACCAAGGCUUUGACGGGUAGCCGGCCUGAGAGGGUGACCGGCCACAUUGGGACUGAGCUACGGCCCAGACUCCUACGGGAGGCAGCAGUGGGGAAUAUUGCACAAUGGGCGGACGCCUGAUGCAGCAACGCCGCGUGCGGGAUGACGGCCUUCGGGUUGUAAACCGCUUUCGCCUGUGACGAAGCGUGAGUGACGGUAAUGGGUAAAGAAGCACCGGCUAACUACGUG